UGGGGAAUUUUGCACAAUGGGGGAAACCCUGAUGCAGCGAUGCCGCGUGAUUUAGAAGGCCUUCGGGUUGUAAAAAUCUUUUCUAUGGGAAGAAAAUGACAGUACCAUAGGAAUAAGGACCGGCUAAUUACGUGCCAGCAGCCGCGGUAAUACGUAAGGUCCGAGCGUUGUCCGGAAUCAUUGGGCGUAAAGGGUACGUAGGCGGGUAAGCAAGUUAGAAGUGAAAUCCUGUAGCUCAACUACAGUAAGCUUUUAAAACUGCUCAUCUUGAGAUAUGGAAGGGAAAGUGGAAUUCCUAGUGUAGCGGUGAAAUGCGCAGAUAUUAGGAGGAAUACCGGUGGCGAAGGCGACUUUCUGGCCAUAAUCUGACGCUGAGGUACGAAAGCGUGGGUAGCAAACAGG
rnacentral:rRNA from 1 species